rnacentral:rRNA from 1 species
UACGUAGGGUGCAAGCGUUGUCCGGAAUUAUUGGGCGUAAAGAGCUCGUGGGCGGUUUGUCGCGUCUGCUGUGAAAACCCGAGGCUCAACCUCGGGCCUGCAGUGGGUACGGGCAGACUAGAGUGCGGUAGGGGAGAUUGGAAUUCCUGGUGUAGCGGUGAAAUGCGCAGAUAUCAGGAGGAACACCAAUGGCGAAGGCAGAUCUCUGGGCCGUAACUGACGCUGAGGAGCGAAAGCAUGGGGAGCGAACAGG